CGUACUAAUCUAGCACAAUCCAUGCAUGCUUCCACAUAUUUUGGCAGGGGAAAGUAGGAGUCCACUGACAAUGGCUUGGGAUAUUGCUAGCCAUCGCUCCUGAAUUCAUACAUUUUUUAUCACUGGCCGGUAACUUCUUUCCACUUCAGUGGCUAUUGUAGGUGUUUGGCUGAGCACAGAGAUAAGUCCUCGCAUGUGCACAACCAGAUGGGAAGCUGACUCCACAGCACGUUAGAGUUGUAUUCGUGCACUUGAGAGAGACCAUGAGUUCUGUAUCUGGAGCUGUUAGCUCUCCAGGGCUGAAAUGCUGAUCUCCACUAGGAACAAAACAUGAAAACUGAGAAGAAAGGAAGAAAAAGCAGGAAAAGAGGAGACAUUGUUGUAACUAUUAUAUUUUUAAGCCAUUAAAAUUAAAAAUGGAGGGCUAUAACAACAUUGAGAUUCCUGAAGAGAAGACAUGGAGAUUUCAAAAAUGCUCCAUUUCUUGGUUAGGAAACAAAAUCUUAAGCUCUGCAGCAUUUUGGAAAAUAAAGAUGGUUAUGUGAUUAAAAUUUAUUACACACAAAGGAGCAAGUGAAGGCUCCUGAGCAUAGUCAUUACCUCAACUAUUAAGCAAUUCAGUCUUUAUCCUGCUGGACAUUUUACUGAAGAAUUUCUUACAGUAUUUUUUUGAGGGGGAAAAGAGGUAAAUAACACUCCUCUAUAUUCAGUGAGUUUUCACAGAGAACUUUAACAUUGCAUAUUAUCUGCUGCCACCAAGAUAUUAUCCUGCUUUACUCAGAUCCGUGUUAUAUGAAUUUUAUCUCCUCUGCUGAGAGCAUAAAAUUACCUUUGGACUUUGUUUCACAGAUGGACGAACACAGAACCAACCCUUGUACAAUGUUCUUAGCGCAUUCCCAGUUAGCCUAAAUCUACUACUCAAAUAUUACUUUUAAAAAAAUACCAGCAAAAACAAACAAACAAAUAAACAAAUAAUA